rnacentral:rRNA from 1 species
GAUGAACGCUGGCGGCAUGCCUAACACAUGCAAGUCGAUCGGUAAGGCUCUUCGGAGUACACGAGAGGCGGACGGCUGGGUAACGCGUAGGAACACACCCUGCAGUGAGGGAUAAGACACCGAAAGGUGUUCUAAUACCGCAUACGGUCUUCGGAUUAAAGCAUUUAUGCGCUGAAGGAGUGGCCUGCGUCAUAUUAGAUAGUUGGUGAGGUAAUGGCUCACCAAGUCGAUGAUGUGUAGCUGGUCUGAGAGGAUGAUCAGCCAGACUGGAACUGAGACACGGUCCAGACUCCUACGGGAGGCAGCAGUGAGGAAUAUUUCACAAUGAGCGAAAGCUUGAUGGAGCAAUGCCGCGUGCAGGAUGAAGGCCCUCGGGUUGUAAACUGCUUUUAUAAGAGAAGAUUAUGACGGUAACUUAUGAAUAAGGGACGGCUAACUACGUG